rnacentral:tRNA from 1 species
GCCAGUGUGAUGGAAUGGUAGACUUGGCGGAUUCAAAAUCCGCUGCCUCAGGGCGUACCGGUUCAAGUCCGGUCACUGGUACCA